AUGGACUCUACACCAACACAUCAAGCCCUACGUGGACCCAUGACAAGAGUUAGAGCACGUGAAAUGGAAACCAAGGUGAACUCCUUCCUAGUUGACAUGCAUAUGGAUACAAGUGGAACUUGGUUGCUUCCUCACCAAAAUACUCUAUGCAUCAUUAGGUACGAAGAGGAACCCUUCCAAGCAGCUGAGGAACACCCCCAAGUCCAAGGAGAAGUGACCCAAGUCACCAAGGAUGAAGAACAAGCUGAACAACAACUGGACAGGAAGUCACGGGCGACCCCGUGCGCACGGGCCCACAGACUACACAGGGAGCUAUGGUUGUAG
rnacentral:rRNA from 1 species